GGAAGGGUGGCAGAGAGGCUGAAUGCACCGCACUCGAAAUGCGGCAAACUCUUAUCGGGUUUCAAGGGUUCAAAUCCCUUCCCUUCCGCCA
rnacentral:tRNA from 1 species